ensembl:lncRNA
UCACGGUGGGCUCAUUGUCCAACUGCUGUCGGCUUUUUAAAAAAAGGCGUCUGCAGUAGGCAGAGUUAAGACGGAAGAAGAGAAAGAGAGCGCCUGUGACUGUUAAACCUCUUCCUGUGGUUACAUCACGUGACUGUGGAGGGUUCAAAAGGAGACGACUUCUUCUUGUUCUUCAUCAUCCACUCCUCGGACAGGCAGAAGACACCUGUGGGGCCACAGGACAAUCGGCGCUUAGAACAGAGAGACAGAAAACAAAAAAAAAAAAGGAAAGGUUGAGGUAAAGUGUUAAUGGUCGACAUGCUUAGAUUAAUGCUAGAAAGGUUUGAAUUGUUUGUGUUUGAAAUCUUUUUUUUGUAAAUGACUUUUGUGUGUCAGAUGUGGAAAGCAAACCAACUUUUACAGUUUUUAUUUUGUUCAUUCUGUACUUCUUUGAUUUGACUUCUGGUUUAGAUUACUGAGGAAACAUUCAUGUUUAAAACUUAAAGGUUUUGCAAAGUUUUUCUUUGAGACUAUGAUAGAAAUUCUUAAACGUGUCUUUUGGAUCUUUCUGUCCAGUCCUAUUUCAGUGUGAUCAGACCUGUCGUGUGUUAUUGGUGGACUUAUUUUAAACGCCUCCUGAUUGAAGAGAGCUGCUCAGACAGAAAAGCUUACUCAUGGCUGCUAAAAUGGCUUCCUCAAGAUAGCGCUUCCUCUGGCAGUUCGCUCCAAAAACAAAACAAAAAGAACAACUAAUUUUUGCCUGACAGGGUUUUUUUUUUUUUUUUACAUUGUUUUAGUUUCUUUUAUGUUCUUUAGAAAUGUAACCAGACAUCUGAUGAAUUUGAAACAAUUGCGUGGAAACAGAAGGCACGCAAGUGUUUCAAGAGGAAUCAGGAAGUGUGCUUUUUCUGGUUGAGCAUGAGCAAGGGCUGCUGAGCUGUUGAGCACAGAGGUUUCAGGUCGGUCUAUCUGGCAAGGGGCGGGGGAGGGGAAGGGAGGGGUGGCUGGUGUGUGUUAGUUUGUGUGUGUGUGUGUGUGUGUGUGUGUGUGUGUGUGUGUGUGUGCGCGCGCAGCUGCCAGAGCAGGUGCACAAAGAACAGAGAAGUGGGAGAAGACAGAAGACGGAAGAGGAGCGGUGGAUGUACAGUGCAGUCAUCCAUAAAGUAGAAAGCACUACUAAACUCCUCGCCACAGUGUAGUGUUUCCUACUUUAUGGAUGAGUGUACUGUUGGCUUCAGGGAGAGCAGAGGCCUGACAUGGCACCCCACGCAGGAAGUUGCAAAAGAGGAAGCUGCUUUGUCUCGCACGGCCACGCUCUGCCCAGAGUGUUGCAGCAGUCGGUUCACAUGGGCAGCGUGCGGCGCAGAGCAAAGCUUGCAACUCUUUUUUUGCUUUAGAUCUCAUCUGUUUCACCUACCACAUGUGCAAUGUAUGAUCUGCUGAUAUGAAAUAAAGAUAAACAUUCAAAAAUCGGGA